rnacentral:rRNA from 1 species
UACGAAGGGGGCUAGCGUUGCUCGGAAUCACUGGGCGUAAAGGGUGCGUAGGCGGGGCUUUAAGGCAGGGGUGAAAUCCUGGAGCUCAACUCCAGAACUGCCUUUGAUACUGAAGAUCUUGAGUUCGGGAGAGGUGAGUGGAACUGCGAGUGUAGAGGUGAAAUUCGUAGAUAUUCGCAAGAACACCAGUGGCGAAGGCGGCUCACUGGCCCGAUACUGACGCUGGGGCACGAAAGCGUGGGGAGCAAACAGG